rnacentral:rRNA from 1 species
ACCCGCUGAACUUAAGCAUAUCAAUAAGCGGAGGAAAAGAAACCAACAGGGAUUGCCCUAGUAACGGCGAGUGAAGCGGCAGCAGCUCAAAUUUGAAAUCUGGCCCCGGCCCGAGUUGUAAUUUGCAGAGGAUGCUUUUGGCGCGGUGCCUUCCGAGUUCCCUGGAACGGGACGCCACAGAGGGUGAGAGCCCCGUAUGGUCGGACACCAAGCCUCUGUAAAGCUCCUUCGACGAGUCGAGUAGUUUGGGAAUGCUGCUCAAAAUGGGAGGUAAAUCUCUUCUAAAGCUAAAUACCGGCCAGAGACCGAUAGCGCACAAGUAGAGUGAUCGAAAGAUGAAAAGCACCUUGAAAAGGGGGUUAAACAGUACGUGAAAUUGUUGAAAGGGAAGCGCUUGUGACCAGACUUGCGCCGGGCGGAUCAUCCAGCGUUCUCGCUGGAGCACUCCGCCCGGCUCAGGCCAGCAUCGGUUUCCUCGGGGGCAUAAAGGCUCCUGGAACGUAGCUCUCUCGGGAGUGUUAUAGCCAGCUGCACAAUACCCCCGCGGGGACCGAGGUUCGCGCAUCUGCAAGGAUGCUGGCGUAAUGGUCACCAGCGACCCGUCUUGAAACACGG